rnacentral:lncRNA from 1 species
GUGAGAUCCAUGGCUCAGUAUUGAAUGGGAGGUUCCCGAAUCUGCUUCUCCUCAAGGCCUCUGUGCUCUCCUCGGAGCUGAGUGUGUGGACUGUGCAGCUCAUCGGAUGUGCACACACACACACGGGUGCUCAUGGGCACACUUCCAAGUUGAACAGGCUCUCACCAGGGCACUUGGGCGCAGCCACAAAUGCUUCAGUUCCAAAAUGCAAAGGAUGAAGAAAUCAGAAAAGUCCCCAAUGCCACCGGCCACCUUUAGGGAGAGCCUGGCUGUCCAGACAAGAUGCAGGUCAGGUGCAUAGCAGUGGGGUAGUGCUGUGUGUUGAGGGCAUCUGCGUAGCUCUAGCUGGCUGCUCCCAAAAACCAGACCCUCCAUCGAGCUCGAUUGAACCCCCCCAGUGACUCGGAGGAGGCUCGGGCUCCUGUCACACAGACCCUCCGUUGAGCUCGAUUGAACCUCUCCAGUGACUCAGAGGAGGCUUGGGAUCCUGUCACUCAGACCCUCCGUUGAGCUCGAUUGAACCCCUCCAGUGACUCAGAGGAGGCUUGGGCUCCUGUCACACAGAGUCUGGCACUUUCCUGUAAGCAUCAACAUCAGCAGAACACGAUCAUGGCUCAGUCUCUGAGCAGAAUUCUGAUGAUCCUGCAACCCCAACUGGACUCUUCUAAACUAGCAAGCUCUCUGUCCCAGGAGCACUUGGAGAGGCUGCCCUGCUCCACCUCACUUCUGAACGGCCGGCUGGAGCCACACAGACGCACACUGGUUUGGACACGUGCACACGCACUCCCCAACUCCUCUCACCUCUGGGUCCUCCCCUCCAGCCUUAGGCCCAGGGCUCACUCCUUAGUGCCCCCCACACCUCAUGAGCAGGCCUAGUUCAUUGUCUCCAAGACAUUCUGCAAAGGCCUCACUACCCCCGAAGGUCUAAGGAGUUCCUACUGACUUAGGGUCUACAGGGUUCAAAAUGCUCUGAGCAGACUGAGAAACCAAAGACCAGUUCCAAAUAAGACUUAUCCUGAGGAGCACCAGGAGUGCCCAUCAUCAAUUCACAAAAUCCUAAACCUCCAAAUGGAGGGGACGUGACAUGUUACCUCACCCUCGAUGAACGCCCUCUACACAAAUACCCUAGCCAGUCUUGACUCCUUUUGACAUGACCCUGUUGUGGGAGCUGCAAAGACCAUCAUGGAUCCCACAAACAGGCAUGGCGCUGGGCAAGACGGCCAUGGAUCCCACAGACAGGGAUGGCACCAGGUAGCCCAUGGUGCAUGGCGGGAAAGGGGAGGGCAAAGCAGGGCAGGGAUUAGAGAGUGCAGAGGCCCAGCUUUAGGAAGCUGGUUGAAGCCUGCAAAGAGUUAACGGCAUUCCACUGGGUCUGGGAGGAUAAACGUGGUUUGGAUAGAGACACAGGAGCAGCAGGAGCGAAGGGCCCACAAGGGAAGGACCUCGGUAUUUAACAGAAGCAUUGGACAGAGAAGUCUGGUGAAAUGGACGGAAGGCUAGAGAGGCAGCUGGGAUUAACUCACAGAGGCCUGGACUGUCCCAGCCAGGGGGUAAGAUUGUGCUCUUUAGAUGGGCGCUGGAGGGUGAAGUGUCCUGUGCUUUAGCAAAAUCCCUCUCUUGAUAGCUCAGAUGGAGGAGAGGACAAGCCCUGCAUGGAGGACAGUCAACCAGGAAGCAACUGAGAGGAAAUGGAACGGAGGCGGAGGAUCCAAAGACAGGAGGAGGGAUGGCAGUGCCUGCUCCCUGAUCAGCCAGGCUGGGGAGAGGGCAGCACGCCCCAAAUGAAGGGCACGUGAGGCUGGGUGACAAGAAGAAGGCUGCUGGUGGUCAGAGACACUGGGCUAUCAGGGGAAUUCUAACAGGUGGGAGAAAAUGCACAGCUCGGCGUGGGGCAGCUUGAGAGGUAACAUUCGAGAGGCCAGGAGGCAUUAGCUCGUGGCAGCUGCACUUUUCUCUGCCUUUGAUCAUCGCCUGUCUGGGCACCUGGCUGUCACUGACUGGAAGGAGAAAAGGCCAGGGCCGGGUGGCAUUUGCUCCCCCUCCCAUGGUCAGAGGUGGCCAGUGGCCUAAUGAAUUAGGGUGAGUGAAGG